rnacentral:snoRNA from 1 species
ACCCCCUACAAAGUUGUGCCUUUGGUUCCCUGUCUUUGUAUACAUAAAAAUUGGAGGCAAAGAAAUGUGGAUUUGGAGAAGUCUGGGGGGCAUUUCCCAUGGGCUCAAGAUCAAUCAUCCCACAUAG